AUCAUUCCUGUUUGGUCUCCUAUUCUGCAGGACUUGACUUCGCUCUCUGUGUCCCGGAUGGUCAUCAUGGUGCUUGAUACAAGUAUCAGGAGGACAGCGCGUUUGUUUGAAGCACUUUUCACUUCAACUGUGUCUGACAGGAGAAUUGGCUUUUCUGAGGCUACUAGCCGUUGAGAGUUACCAUGGCAACCGCGGACACAUCAGCUGCUGGAGAGGACUCGUCUGACAGUUUCUCUGUUUCUUGUCAGUUUGGUUAUACCAAAGAAAAGUUAAACAACUGCGACAGAUUGGAUAAGAGUGUCUUAAAAACCCUCUAAAACAGAGGGGAAGUUCCAGGAAAAUUUGUAAUGGAAGCUCCUGACAGAUAGAAAACACAGUUUGUUUAUUUCUAAUAAGGAGCUGGAGGCUGUGCAGAAGCAGAUCCGUGACCUUGUGGAGAAGCAGGCUCAGCUGAGCGAGUGGAGAGCUGUUAUGGAAAUAUUCUGGGGUUGAUGCUCAUAAGUCCAGGGUAAGUAUAUAGCUAACCCUACUACCACCUCUACUCUGUGUGGUUCUCUGCACAGGUUCGGUGCACCGAGGACGCGAUCUUCCCAAAUGUCUUCAGCAUUAAGACAUGAGCCAGGAACUGGGCGAUGACCUCUCUACUUCCAACGCCUCCAGUCUUGAGGAUCUCCACCCGCAGGAGCUUCACUUCACGAGACAGAACACGACACUGUGAUCAUCGGAGACUCCAUCGUCCGACACAUACCUGUGAUCCUGAAGGCCGACGAGAGCCCCAGAGCGUUCGUGCUUCACGCCGGGGUUAAUGACACCACGCUGCGGCAGACGGAGACGCUGAAGAGGGACUUCAGGAGUCUGAUCGAGACGGUUCAUGUCAGGACCACUGUUCACAUAUCGACAAGGACACGAAAGGGCAGUUUGUGAAGACAGAUAAUCAAGAGAAGUCAGUUCCAGAUCCACCCUCCACAACAGACCUCUCUCUCUCACGAGGAUUGCUGUCUACUAGCAUAUUGUGUUCUCUUCAGACUUCGGGGGAUGCAGAUAUUACUCAGGGACACGAACACUUGAAUAUUGAAAGAAUAAAGAAAGUAAGAAUUACUUAAGAUUUUAGAAUUUAAUG